rnacentral:lncRNA from 1 species
AAGCCCGGUGUUCAGAAGCUGCCAUCUCAGACGCCUGCCCACCUUGAGGCAGUGGCGGGGGAGGUGACUGGCAUUACAAUGAUCAUAACAAGGGGACGAUGAAAAGCCCUGUUUGCUGAGAGAAGCCUCACUGCUGCGAUCAGCUCCAGCCAAAAACCCAAAGCCAGAUAUUGAUAGCAGCUGGUUCCUCCUGGCCUGAGCGGGACUUUCACAGAGACCGCCACGCCCAACUUCCCUGAAGAACGCGCCUCAGACCCGCCGAAGAGGAAAGACAGCUGUGGAGGCCCUGGAUCUGGGAGGGCCGACCCAGCCCCCAGCCUGUGGGGAAGUGCAUUCAGAACCCGGAGAUUCUGCUCACCCCUAGCUGCCCGACGUGGGGAAACCCCCACCCUCUCCAUUAGAAGAGAUCGGUACCGUCUGGCCGCAUCACCAGCUCACGCUGACACACGUUUAUUGGGGGCCUCCUGUGUGCUGGGCUUGGUGGGGGAAACCACCCACAUUCCUACAGCCUCCAGAGGAGGCCAAGGCCCCCUCCCCGUCAUCUCUCACGCCUCUUCUCCUUCUCCAGGGAGCUCGUA